ensembl:lncRNA
GAAGAAGCAAAUAUGAACACAUGUGAUACUUGAAGAAGAGAAAAUUAUUCUUGUGCAAGGAGCUUUUGAUAUCUUUUAAACUUCUCUGAAAAAAAUGAUGCAAAGAAGAGUCCAACAAUUAGAUUUAUUUUCUUGUCAAAUAGACAAAGGUGAAAAUGAAUUAGGGCUUUGUACUCGUAUCUUCUUUGAUCCAGCAGAUGAGGAUGAAAAGGAACCAGGUGUUUUUAUUACUGAAAUUGCUGAAGGGGGUGCAGCCCACAAACUUGGAUGUAUCCAUUUAUUUGACCAGAUUAUUAAAAUAGGUGAAACCAAUCUAAUUGGAUUAGAUGAAGAAGAAAUCUUCUCUACUUUUAAAAAAAAUGGAAAAUUGUGUUUUCCGGAUUGAAAUUGGAAGAGAGCCACCUGAAGUCAAGACAGAACUCAUCAUACUCCUUGAAUUGUCAGAGGAAAGGAAGAAAUUUUUUACAGAUUCAGUCAUAGUUCAGGAAAAAGUUGGAGAUAUCAAAAUUGUGAAAGGAAAAGCAAGAAAUUCUAAAACUCCGAAAAUAUCAUGGCUCUGGAUCACCAGAGAACUGGAAUUAAAAAAUGAAGAGAUGGAAUUGAAAAGAAUAAUAGAAGAAGAAGGUCAGAAAUAUAAAAAAGACCUCAAGGAAAUUGAUGAAAUGACUAACAACUUGAUAGAGAAACUUAAAAAAUACGUGAACAUAUCUGAAGUGAAUAUCGGAAAUCAGCCUGAGGAGACAGUAAAAGAAGAUAUAACAACAGGGCAAUUAUUGGCCGCAGAGGACAUCAGUUUAGAUAUCACAAUUAAAAAAGAACAAGUAGCAGAAUUAGUAGAAGAGGAGAUCAGCAGUGGCAAACCUGCAGUGGGAAAAGCUCCAAUGCAGUUUUCCUGGUUUUGCAAUGUCCAAGGAUACAAUUGGAGGAACUUCUUUUGUUUUAAAAAACAUGAUAAACAAGUAAAGAAUGUGCGCAAGCAGGAAGAAACUGACCUAAAGCUGCUGGUGUCUGACUGGACAGAAACUCAAGUUGGCCAUUGGUUAAAGAGUAUUGGAAUGAAAAAAUAUAUCCUGAAAUUUGAUUAUAAAAGAGUAAGCAGUCAAGAACUUCUUGAAUUAGACAAUGAUGCAUUAAAAUGCAUUGGAAUCACUAAGAAGAGAGAUCGCAAGAAAAUCCUUAAGGGAAUUAAGAAAAUUCAACAGACAGAAAAAAAUUAAUACAAUCUAACAAUUAAAUAUAUCAAAAAGAUAAUUCUGGAAGAUACAGCAAAAAUGAGAAAAAUAUAAUUACAUGAUAUUUACCUUUAAUCUACUACUUCAACAUAUUAUUUUGAUAUAGAAUAAUUUUUCAUUGUUGAAAAAUUAUUAAUAUCAUCCAUAAUAAGCAUUACACAUAUUAUACUGUAUUUCUGAAUAAACUGAUUAUAAUAUACA